rnacentral:rRNA from 1 species
UACGUAGGUGGCAAGCAUUAUCCGGAUUUACUGGGCGUAAAGGGUGCGUAGGCGGAUUUUUAAGUGAGAUGUGAAAUACCCGGGCUCAACCUGGGGGCUGCAUUUCAAACUGGAAAUCUAGAGUGCAGGAGAGGAAAGUGGAAUUCCUAGUGUAGCGGUGAAAUGCGUAGAGAUUAGGAAGAACACCAGUGGCGAAGGCGACUUUCUGGACUGUAACUGACGCUGAGGCACGAAAGCGUGGGGAGCAAACAGGAUUAGAA